ACGGAGGAUCCAAGCGUUAUCCGGAUUUAUUGGGUUUAAAGGGUGCGCAGGCGGAUCAAUAAGUCAGGGGUGAAAAAUUUCAGCUUAACUGGAAUCGUGCCUUUGAUACUGUUGGACUAGAGUAUAAUUGACGUGACUGGAAUGUGAUGUGUAGCGGUGAAAUGCUUAGAUAUCGCGCAGAACACCAGUCGUGAAGGCGACUUACGGGAUUAUAACUGACGCUGAGGCGCGAAAGUGUGGGGAGCAAACAG
rnacentral:rRNA from 1 species